UGAGGUAGAAUUUGAGCUUUUGUAGAAAAGUCUCUUUCUUUCUCGCUUCGUUUAUUCGCUUCUUUCUUUUAACGACAUUUGCAGUGAUAGGUGGAAUUGUUUGCUCUGAAUCCGCCCUUGCAUGGACGGUUGGUCAGUGGCAAACAGUGACAGUAUCGGUCCACCAACCAGUGCCAUGUAUAACAUCGGAGACUUGAUCUAGGAUUUACCUGAAUGGCACAAUACGGAGGAACCCUUGCUUUUUGGAUGGACUCUGAUAAUUCAGCAUUAGCAAAUGUUGUAGUGACAUUUAAUGGUUGCGACAUAGGUAUGAUGCAACAGAAGAUCAUGUGGUGGCAGACUUUUUCUUAACAUAGACAGAUUCUUACGUGUAGGUAUUAUUUCCAGCACAGUCAUCCUUGUGUGCUUCUCUUCAUCUCUAUUUACUAUUUCUGAAGUUCGUAUUCUGUUUUUUGCAUGUUAAAUCAUCUGUCUUUCCUCGACCUGAUGUACCGUUGAUCUUUCCUUACAUGCCAUUCUUGGAUUUUCGCGAGUAACAAUUCAUGCAGAUGUUACCCGGUGGAGAAGGCGAAAGAUGCUCACGUCAUUGGUAUUUUGAUUGGAACUCUUGGUGUAGGUAUGCUACGUAUAGGGUUGUAUUUUGCAUUCAAGCUUUUCUCUUCAGCUUACGUGUCUCUAGCAUUCUUUGGUAAUAUACCAUUGCAUCAUAAAUGAAUCGGGAUCUAUGGAA